rnacentral:piRNA from 1 species
UGAAGAACAGGAUGCCAGAAUAUUAC